rnacentral:rRNA from 1 species
UACGUAGGGUGCGAGCGUUGUCCGGAAUUAUUGGGCGUAAAGAGCUCGGUAGGCGGUUUGUCGCGUCUGCUGUGAAAACUGGAGGCUCAACCUCCAGCCUGCAGUGGGUACGGGCAAACUAGAGUGCGGUAGGGGAGAUUGGAAUUCCUGGUGUAGCGGUGGAAUGCGCAGAUAUCAGGAGGAACACCGAUGGCGAAGGCAGAUCUCUGGGCCGUAACUGACGCUGAGGAGCGAAAGCAUGGGGAGCGAACAGG